ACCCUUGUAGCUCAGUUGGUAGAGCAUGGCGCUUGCAUCGCCAGGGUUGUGGGUUUGAUUCCCAUGGGGGGA
rnacentral:tRNA from 1 species